AACGAACGCUGGCGGCAUGCCUAACACAUGCAAGUCGAACGAGACCUCCGGGUCUAGUGGCGCACGGGUGUGUAACGCGUGGGAACCUGCCCUUAGGUUCGGAAUAACUCCCCGAAAGGGGUGCUAAUACCGGAUAAUGUCUUCGGACCAAAGAUUUAUCGCCUUUGGAUGGGCCCGCGUUGGAUUAGCUAGUUGGUAGGGUAAAAGCCUACCAAGGCGACGAUCCAUAGCUGGUCUGAGAGGAUGAUCAGCCACACUGGGACUGAGACACGGCCCAGACUCCUACGGGAGGCAGCAGUGGGGAAUAUUGGACAAUGGGCGAAAGCCUGAUCCAGCAAUGCCGCGUGAGUGAUGAAGGCCUUAGGGUUGUAAAGCUCUUUUAACCGGGAUGAUAAUGACGGUACCGGGAGAAUAAGCCCCGGCUAACUCCGUG
rnacentral:rRNA from 1 species